GAUGAAGAACGUAGCGAAAUGCGAUACGUAGUGUGAAUUGCAGAAUUCAGUGAAUCAUCGAAUCUUUGAACGCAUAUUGCGCUCUCUGGUAUUCCGGAGAGCAUGCUUGUUUGAGUAUCAGUAAACACCUCAACUUCCAUAUCUUUUUUGAAAUGGGAGUUGGACUUGAGUGAUCCCAACGCUUUUCCUCACCGAAAAGUGGCGGGUUACUUGAAAUGCAGGUGCAGCUGGACUUUUCUCUGAGCUAUAAGCAUAUCUAUUUAGUCUGCCUAAAAACAGAUUAUUACCUUUGCUGCAGCUAACAUAAAGGAGAUUAGUUCUUGUGCUGACUGAUGCAGGAUUCACAAAGACAGGCUUCGGCCGACUUUGUAAACUCGAUCUCAAAUCAAGUAAGACUACCCGCUGAACUUAAGCAUAUCAAUAAGCGGAGGA
rnacentral:misc_RNA from 1 species